UGGGGAAUAUUGGACAAUGGGCGAAAGCCUGAUCCAGCCAUGCCGCGUGUGUGAAGAAGGUCUUCGGAUUGUAAAGCACUUUAAGUUGGGAGGAAGGGCAGUAAGCGAAUACCUUGCUGUUUUGACGUUACCGACAGAAUAAGCACCGGCUAACUCUGUGCCAGCAGCCGCGGUAAUACAGAGGGUGCAAGCGUUAAUCGGAAUUACUGGGCGUAAAGCGCGCGUAGGUGGUUCGUUAAGUUGAAUGUGAAAGCCCCGGGCUCAACCUGGGAACUGCAUCCAAAACUGGCGAGCUAGAGUAGGGCAGAGGGUGGUGGAAUUUCCUGUGUAGCGGUGAAAUGCGUAGAUAUAGGAAGGAACACCAGUGGCGAUGGCGACCACCUGGGCUCAUACUGACACUGAGGUGCGAAAGCGUGGGGAGCAAACAGG
rnacentral:rRNA from 1 species